ACCGCCCAGACUUGAACGCAAAAUGUUCAAAUGCUCACACAAGCAUGCCGGGCCAAUAGGUGGCGAUAAAGUCUACAUUCACGAUCCGUCUCGUAAGAGAAACCCUGUGAAUGCCGGUGCGGUGAUGCUAAAUUUUGCUGCAUUGCUGCCGUUUCUGGUGCAUGCUCACUAAACAAAACAAAAUGGGUGUGCGCCAGGGCAUCGGGCUCAGACAGGCCACAGAUCCGGUGCUCAGGACCAGGCGGACCUGGUUGGUGCAGCAUCGUUCGGACACCUGCAUACACAUGUGAUGCAAUGCAGUGUCAAGAGUUCCACUACGCUGGAAAGGGAGCUUCAUGCGAACAACAAAGCUGAUUUUGAGAGCUGGUUUUCGUAUGACAGAUAGGCAGAGAUGAGCAGACUCAAAAAUGCUGUUUACAUUCCUGCCCUGCUCGCUCCUCCCUGAUCUACAGCAGCGCUCCACCAAACAAACAGACUGACUCCUCACCUCUGACCUCAAACAUCCCUGUCUGGCCAACAAAACAACAACAACCUCUACCAGUAACACUGUUCUCCUGCUAACUCAUUGUUACAUAUUCCAAAACAUCUGUGUUUUUAAAUCAUGUCUUAUUUCAAAAAUCACUAGUCUAGUCACAAAAUAAAAAAACAGUCAUUUUCAUUAUUCAUGAAUCUUCCAAAUAUUUCAUGUUGUAUCAUUUGGUCGAUAAAAUGACAAACACAAAGUU